UNUGACUUGAGUGCAGAAGGGGAGAGUGGAAUUCCAUGUGUAGCGGUGAAAUGCGUAGAUAUAUGGAGGAACACCAGUGGCGAAAGCGGCUCUCUGGUCUGUCACUGACGCUGAGGCUCGAAAGCGUGGGUAGCGAACAGGAUUAGAUACCCUGGUAGUCCACGCCGUAAACGAUGAGUGCUAGGUGUUAGGCCCUUUCCGGGGCUUAGUGCCGGAGCUAACGCAAUAAGCACUCCGCCUGGGGAGUACGACCGCAAGGUUGAAACUCAAAGGAAUUGACGGGGGCCCGCACAAGCGGUGGAGCAUGUGGUUUAAUUCGAAGCAACGCGAAGAACCUUACCAGGUCUUGACAUCCCGAUGCUAUUCUUAGAGAUAGGAAGUUACUUCGGUACAUCGGAGACAGGUGGUGCAUGGUUGUCGUCAGCUCGUGUCGUGAGAUGUUGGGUUAAGUCCCGCAACGAGCGCAACCCUUAUUGUUAGUUGCCAUCAUUAAGUUGGGCACUCUAGCGAGACUGCCGGUAAUAAACCGGAGGAAGGUGGGGAUGACGUCAAAUCAUCAUGCCCCUUAUGACCUGGGCUACACACGUGCUACAAUGGUCGGUACAACGAGUUGCGAGCCGGUGACGGCAAGCUAAUCUCUGAAAGCCGAUCUCAGUUCGGAUUGGAGGCUGCAACUCGCCUCCAUGAAGUCGGAAUCGCUAGUAAUCGCGGAUCAGCACGCCGCGGUGAAUACGUUCCCGGGCCUUGUACACACCGCCCGUCACACCACGAGAGUCUGUAACACCCGAAGUCGGUGAGGUAACCUUUUAGGGGCCAGCCGCCU
rnacentral:rRNA from 1 species